rnacentral:rRNA from 1 species
GGGUUGCUUGCAACCCAGAGACCGGCGCACGGGUGCGUAACGCGUAUGCAACCUACCUUGAUCAGGGGGAUAGCCCGGAGAAAUCCGGAUUAACACCGCAUAACAUUGUGAUAUGGCAUCAUAUUAUAAUCAAAUAUUUAUAGGAUCGAGAUGGGCAUGCGUGACAUUAGUUAGUUGGUGAGGUAAUGGCUCACCAAGACUUCGAUGUCUAGGGGAUCUGAGAGGAUGACCCCCCACACUGGUACUGAGACACGGACCAGACUCCUACGGGAGGCAGCAGUAAGGAAUAUUGGUCAAUGGGCGCAAGCCUGAACCAGCCAUGCCGCGUGCAGGAAGACGGCCCUACGGGUUGUAAACUGCUUUUGUACCGGAAUAAACCUGCUCUCGUGAGAGCAGCUGAACGUACGGUAAGAAUAAGGAUCGGCUAACUCCGUGCCAGCAGCCGCGGUAAUACGGAGGAUCCAAGCGUUAUCCGGAUUUAUUGGGUUUAAAGGGUGCGUAGGCGGCUUUUUAAGUCAGGGGUGAAAACUUGCGGCUCAACCGUAAGCUUGCCUUUGAUACUGAGGAGCUUGAAUACACUUGAGGUAGGCGGAAUGUGACAAGUAGCGGUGAAAUGCAUAGAUAUGUCACAGAACACCAAUUGCGAAGGCAGCUUACUAAAGUGAGAUUGACGCUGAGGCACGAAAGCGUGGGGAUCAAACAGGAUUAGAUACCCU